AUCUUUUCGCUGAGUGUACAUACAUGCAUAUAAAAGGAUAGCUAGUGAGUGAAAACGACUUUUAUUAUGUUUUUUUGAAGACUUUGAAGAGACCAAGCGAUGUUUUGUGUCAGGCAUUAUUUACCUGGUAGUACCUUAGCUAUAACAGAGGACCAGCUUAGCCCUUAUUACAGCCACGUUACGAUUUCCACCAUGCAGUAGUAGGUAUAGAGAGAGGCUAUAUUAUACAAAUAUAUGUAUAUAUAUACAUAGUUUUACCUGUGCUAUUGAUCUUCGAGGAUCGAUUAACUGUGUCUUUUACGCUUCGUCAACGUGAUCAUAGAGUGAUUAAGUUGGUCUUGAAUGCCAUGUCUGAGCCCAAGGUGAUGAUGAAUAAAAAUAUAUAUAUGUAGUAACUGCGGCUUGACGAACCAUUGUGCGCAUGCGAGAGAGAAAAAGGGAGACGGACAAACAGAUCUUUUGCUUUGCAGUCAGUGGUGGCUGGUACGGAGAUAAUAUCUACAGAUAUAUACACGCCAGCGUUGGCUCGCUCGCUUAUUUAACGGGUAAGCUCUCUAUACAAGAUGUGCCUAAAGAAGUUUUUUUCAAAAAGCAUGCCAAGUUCGAUUAAAUGUCAAAGUUUUGCUCACUGUUUUCUUCGAUUACCGUGGCGUUAUGCAUCAGGAGUUUUUAACGACCAAUAACAAGUAUUAUCUUGAUGUUAUGUGUCACUUGCGAGAAGUAAUACGAAGAAAACAUCCGAAAGUGUGGAAAUACAAUUCAUGGCUUUUGCAUUAAGAGCAUCGCUAUAAGUUUAAUUAUUUAGGAUGAGGUGCUCCCAUCAUGCAGGAUAGUAAACAAGACCCUCAAGCGCUCUUGGUCACUGGAAAUUAGACGAUCUCUGUAUUUAAUUAAUAACUGAAAUUUUUUAGCACUCUCAGGUGAUUAAAAUUCGGUGCUUGCUUUAUUUAAUAAUUAAAGAAAAUCUUCAAGCUAUCAAGGUUACUUAGAAUUAGCCACUUGCUUUAUUAAAUUAAAAAAUGAAAUCCCUGAGCGAUCUGUAAAUUUGAUUUGUUAUUUAAUUAUGUUAUAAUAAACAUGAAUCAGUUUUUU